AUCUCUAGGCGCCAAUUUCAUAUAUUAUUUUAUUUUACGUUAAACAUGAUACCAGGUUAGAGGAAUCAGUUUAUCAUUAUUGAUUUGAUUUUGUACUUCCUGCUGCACAUAUUAAUGUGUUAUUUAACUCGUAUUUGAUUUCAACGAAGAAGAUUCAUAUAACCACCAGUAAUAUAUUGGACGGAAAUCUGUAAUUUUGACAUUACGGUUACCCACAUUACGUCAUUAGAAAUUAAUCAAGAACCAUUCACCAGUAAUUAUGUCCCAGGACUGUAGUGAUACUGAGAUUAACAGUGAAGCAACUGAAAGUGGCAGUGAAGACUCUCUCCCAAGUCUGGCUGAACGCCUUAAACAGCGUUCUGAGGCUCAGAAGCAGCCAAUACAAGAAUGCAUUUGUUUGAGUGAUGAGGAAUCUCCUCAAAAAGAGAAAUAUUCUGCGUUUGAAGCUAAAGAAUCAAGUUCACUACCACAUAGAUGUGAAACUGAAAUACACAAACCAGUCUUUAUUAAUGAAUCUGCUCAAACUUUCACUAGAUUAAAACCUACAAUUGAAAAUAGUAUUACAAAAGGAUAUGCUGAAAGUAAAACACAAGUGAUUACUUACCAUGAAGACUCAUUAUCUGGUUUAGGUGUUACUUCUGGUUUGUCAUCACUGGUAGAUAUUGGAGCUAAAGAGGAUCACCAGCUUAGAGAAGGUAGGCAGGUAUUAAUUGAUCUCUCUAUCUCAAGUGAUGAAGAAGAAGAGACAAACAUUCAGAACUGUGAGAAGAGACACAUGCCAGGUCUGGUAUUAGGAAAGAGUGCUGCCCAUAGUUUGUCAAAUAGCUGCAUGUCAGAUGUUGAACUUCCUGAUGUCGGUAUUUCUUUUCCAGCAUCCAAAAACUGCAUGUCAGUAUCUCAGCCUCAGGAGGGUAACUUGGCAUCAUCAACGAAUAAUAAAGUAACAAAAUGCAAGAAAAGAACUUCUGAAGUAAGAAGACUGGCACAGCUUUGUAGGGAACAAAAGCAGAAACAACGAGAGUUAAGGAAGUUUGAAAAAGAAAAAGAAAAGUUGUGUAGAGAAGUUGAAAGAGAAAUCAGAAAAAGUUCUAAGCCAGGAGAAAGUAUUAAGUUUGUUCGAGCAGUAGUGGACAAGAAACUUUUGGAAAUACCAGGGGCAGGAGAUUUCCUAAACACAUUACAAACAGCAGAUGUAAGAUACAGUUUAGAGGACCAGGCUGUUCCCUCUAGUAUCACUUGGUUCCGUGACCUCACAGAGCAUGCUGUUGUAGGAAAUGAGGUUUUAAAGACAACACAUGGAGAGCUACAAGAUCAGCUUCUGCUUGUUCUAAGGUUUAAGAAUUUUGUCAAAAUGAUCCAAGCAUUUAAACAGAAUCAGUAUGGUGGGCCCUCUAGUGAUGAAUCAUCCCUUGUUAACUACAUUCAGAAAGUACAAAUAAUGUUACCUAAUGCAAUCAUUACCAUGGUGAUAAUUGGCCUGGAAACAUAUUUCAGGGAUUUGAAGAAACAACCAAGAAGUUACCAAGCUUCAGCUUUGGGAGACAAUGAAUCACUUCGCACAAAGCAACAAAAGUUGGGAGAUGGUGUCCCCAUAACUCGACUUCAAGUAGAAGAGGCUCUGGUGGAUCUACAGUUACGUUUUCAAAUUAGUUUUCACCUGGUGGAGACAAUGUCAGAUAUUGGUGGGAUUGUUGCCAAAAUGACAAAAGCUAUCGCUGAGGCACCUUACAAGCAGACAGCAUUGGGACUGUUAAGGUGGAGAAAAAUGGAGAUGGACUACUAAAGUUGUGGCAGCAACAGAUUCAGCAGUUUCUAAAUGUUAGCAGUGAGGUUGCCCAGGCAAUAGUAGCUCAGUACCGAUCUCCUCGUUUGUUGCUUGAGGCUUAUAAGAAAUGUUCUUCUGAAAAACAAGCACAGACCUUGCUACAAGACAUUUUGGUACGUCGAGGAGUUGGUGCUCUGGAGAGAUCUCGAAGAGUUGGCCCUGAAUUAUCAAGAAAAAUCCACCUUGUAUUCACAACAAAGAAUCCUGAGGCUAUUUUAAAGCACACCUGA
rnacentral:misc_RNA from 1 species